CCUACGGGAGGCAGCAGUGAGGAAUAUUGGUCAAUGGACGGAAGUCUGAACCAGCCAUGCCGCGUGCAGGAAGACGGCUCUAUGAGUUGUAAACUUCUUUUGUACAAGGGUAAACCUGCAUACGUGUAUUCAGCUGAAAGUACUGUACGAAUAAGGAUCGGCUAACUCCGUGCCAGCAGCCGCGGUAAUACGGAGGAUCCAAGCGUUAUCCGGAUUUAUUGGGUUUAAAGGGUGCGUAGGCGGAUUGAUAAGUUAGAGGUGAAAUGUCCGAGCUUAACUCGGGAACUGCCUCUAAUACUGGUGGUCUAGAGAGUAGAUGAGGUAGGCGGAAUGUAUGGUGUAGCGGUGAAAUGCUGAGAGAUCAUACAGAACACCGAUUGCGAAGGCAGCUUACCAAUCUAUAUCUGACGUUGAGGCACGAAAGCGUGGGGAGCAAACAGGAUUAGAUACCCGUGUAGUC
rnacentral:rRNA from 1 species